CAGUAGCCACGGUAAUACGUAGGUGGCAAGCGUUGUCCGGAAUUAUUGGGCGUAAAGCGCGCGCAGGCGGAUCAGUCAGUCUGUCUUAAAAGUUCGGGGCUUAACCCCGUGAUGGGAUGGAAACUGCUGAUCUAGAAUAUCGGAGAGGAAAGUGGAAUUCCUAGUGUAGCGGUGAAAUGCGUAGAUAUUGGGAAGAACACCAGUGGCGAAGGCGACUUUCUGGACGAAAACUGACGCUGAGGCGCGAAAGCCAGGGGAGCGAACGGGAUUAGAUACCCCAGUAGUCCCUGUCUCUUAUACC
rnacentral:rRNA from 1 species